rnacentral:tRNA from 1 species
GUUCCCAUCGUCUAGAGGCCUAGGACAUCGGAUUCUCAUUCCGACAACGCGGGUUCGACUCCCGCUGGGAACGCCA